AUUACACUUGACAUCCCUUGCAUUACCCGUAAUUGGGGAAAUCUCUUCGGAGACAAGGUGACAGGUGGUGCAUGGUUGUCGUCAGCUCGUGUCGUGAGAUGUUGGGUUAAGUCCCGCAACGAGCGCAACCCCUAUUGUUAGUUGCUACUAUUAAGUUAAGCACUCUAGCGAGACUGCCUGGGUUAACCAGGAGGAAGGUGGGGACCGACGUCAAAUCAUCAUGCCCCUUAUGUGUAGGGCUACACACGUGCUACAAUGGCUGGUACAGAGAGACGCAAGACCGUGAGGUGGAGCAAAUCCCAGAAAACCAGUCCCAGUUCGGAUUGAAGGCUGAAACUCGCCUUCAUGAAGCCGGAGUUGCUAGUAAU
rnacentral:rRNA from 1 species